UACAGAGGGUGCGAGCGUUGUCCGGAAUCACUGGGCGUAAAGGGCGCGUAGGCGGCUUGAUAAGGUUGCGGUGAAAGCCCGGGGCUCAACCCCGGGUCGGCCGUGGCAACUGUCGAGCUGGAGCACUGUAGAGGCAGGUGGAAUUCCGGGUGUAGCGGUGGAAUGCGUAGAGAUCCGGAAGAACACCAGUGGCGAAGGCGGCCCGCUGGGCAGUGGCUGACGCUGAGGCGCGACAGCGUGGGGAGCAAACAGG
rnacentral:rRNA from 1 species